ensembl:ncRNA W05E10.8 ncRNA
UUUGCACUUUGUGUUGCAGAAGGCGAGAAAAGAGGAGACAAAAAGCAAUAAAAUUAUGAGAAGACAAGGAGCAUGAUUGGAUUGAAAGUAAGAGAAGAACGGAAGUAAGAAGAAAGGGAGAAGAGGAAAAGAUACGU